rnacentral:rRNA from 1 species
CCUACGGGAGGCUGCAGUGAGGAAUAUUGGUCAAUGGGCGCGAGCCUGAACCAGCCAAGUAGCGUGAAGGAAGACUGCCCUACGGGUUGUAAACUUCUUUUAUAAAGGAAUAAAGUGAGGCACGUGUGCCUUUUUGCAUGUACUUUAUGAAUAAGGAUCGGCUAACUCCGUGCCAGCAGCCGCGGUAAUACGGAGGAUCCGAGCGUUAUCCGGAUUUAUUGGGUUUAAAGGGAGCGUAGAUGGGUUGUUAAGUCAGUGGUGAAAGUUUGCGGCUCAACCGCAAAAGUGCAAUUGAUACUGGCAGUCUUGAGUACAGUUGAGGUAGGCGGAAUGCGUGGUGUAGCGGUGAAAUGCUUAGAUAUCACGAAGAACUCCGAUUGCGAAGGCAGCUUACUAAACUGCAACUGACAUUGAGGCUCGAAAGUGUGGGGAUCAAACAGGAUUAGAUACCCCGGUAGUC